CAAGUUCAGAAAUCAAAGGGUGAAAAAUGAGAGUGGCAUCACUAUUAUCCCUAGUGACUCACUAGCAAAAUUUUUGUUUUUUCUUCCUGCAGCUUUAUACUUUGCUUUCCCAGAAGUUUUAACUCCAGAGGAAAAAAUACUUCUGGUAGAAGACACAGUUAUAAUUCCAUUGAACUUGAAGUUAAGACUUCCAGCCACAUUGGGUUCCUCAAGCCUCUGAGUCUACAGUCCAUGCAGGGAGUUAUGGCAUUGGCUAGGGUGAUUGAUCGAUCCUGAGUCUGAAGAAUAAAUUGAACUACUACUUCAUAAUGGAGGCUCACAGACAGAGGAGGCUUUGGACUGUGAACUUUCAAGUUAAUGCUGAAAUGAGUUAAGAUUUUGGAGUACCAUUGGGAAGAAAACUGAAGAUUAAUCAAAUGAAGUGCUGCCAAUAUUUGUACGUGCUAAAAAUAGUCAAGACAGAGUGUUAAGAAUGUAUAAAAGGGGAGGAAGAGAUACCACGAGUGUGGGUGCUCAGAGGAAAAGCCAUGGGAGGACACCAGGAAGGUACCAUCUGCAAAUGAAGGGGAGAAGCCUCACCCAAAGCUAGCCGUGCCAGCACUAUGAUCUUUGGCUUCCAGGCUCCAGAACCCACUGCUCCUUCUGACACCACAUGAGAAGGAUGUGUUUGCUUCCUAUUCUGCUG
rnacentral:lncRNA from 1 species